rnacentral:tRNA from 1 species
UCCCUGGUGGUCCAGUGGUUAGGACUCUGCUCUUUGACUGCAAGGGCCUGGGUUCAAUCCCUGGUUGGGGAA